rnacentral:rRNA from 1 species
UACGUAGGGUGCGAGCGUUAAUCGGAAUUACUGGGCGUAAAGCGUGCGUAGGCGGUUCGUUAAGUUCGUUGUGAAAGCCCCGGGCUUAACCUGGGAAUGGCCAUGGAAACUGGCGAACUGGAGUGUGGCAGAGGGGGGUGGAAUUCCGCGUGUAGCAGUGAAAUGCGUAGAGAUGCGGAGGAACACCGAUGGCGAAGGCAGCCCCCUGGGCUAACACUGACGCUCAGGCACGAAAGCGUGGGGAGCAAACAGG